CAGCCGAGCCAGCAGCAGCACAGAACUGGAAUUGCCUUGGACGGCCACAGCUCUGCAUAUCCCCCAGGAGUGUGGACAAGAAAAAAUAAACACAAUUAGAGUUCACGACAAUGGGCCCCGAUGGAAGAUCAGUAGGAUGAAAAAUGAAUGCGGAUGAAGCUACGACCCAUCCAAAGCUAUGAUUCUCAAGAUAACUGUUGGCCACGAGGUCGUCACUCUCUCCCAACAGCCAUCCCAGCAGGAUGGGCAGUCCAGGGGCCAGCUGGUCCCACUGCUGGAGCAGAUCACACAGGACGGCCAGGGCCAGGGCCAGAGCGAUGGAGGCAUCCACCUGGCAGAAGGCAAACUCUGCAAAGACAGGAGAAAGAUCUCCUGGGCGCAAGACACAUCCUAGAGCAUCGGCAAGCUUUUCCUUAAAGGGCCAGAGAGUCAGUAUUUUAGACUUUGCAAGCCUAUACCUCCUCAACUCAGCUGAAAGCAGCCAUAGACAAUUUGUAAACAAAUGGUUGUGGCUGUGUUCCAAUAAAACUUUAUUUAUGGACACUGAAAUUUGAA